UCAAAUUAAUUUCAUCAAAAUAUCAUAAGAACUUAUAUAAACAUAUUCAAUUCAAAUCAUGCACUGAAAUAACUAUAUUACAUAAAUCUGCAUAAAAUCAAUGAAAUCAUAAUACUUAUAAUAUCAAAUACUGAAUACCAAAAACUAUCACCAAACAAGUACCCAGGGGAAUGAUCUCAUCAUAGCCUUUUUGCACAUCAUCUUUCAACUUCAGUAACUACAAAUCCUGAUCUUGCAUCUGAUGAACUUUGUCAAUCAAAGUCGGCCUAACUCGAAAAUUAUCUAUCAAAGCUCUGCAAUUUUCAACUUCCAAUUCAACUCCCAAAUAUCACAGCUCGAACAAUAAAGGCAUAUAUGUCACUCGCAAGUGAGCUAUAGAGCUGGAAGACUUCCUACUUAGCGCAUUAGAUACCACAUUCGUUUUGCCCGGAUGAUAAUCAAUAGUGCAAUCGUAGUCCUUAAUCAGCUCAAUCCAUCUCCUAUGUCUCAAAUUUAACUCUUUCUGAGUAAAUAAAUACUUCAAGCUCUUGUGAUCGGUGAAAAAAUGGCAUGUUGCUCCGUAUAAAUAAUGCCUCCAUAUCUUGAGUGCAAAUACCACUGCUGCUAACCCUAAAUCAUGAGUUGGGUAGUUUUGUUCAUGCUUUUUAAGUUGUCUAAAAGUAUAAGGCACUACUUUCCCAUGUUGCAUUAGCACACAACCUAAUCCUUGCCUGGAUGCAUCAUUGUAUACGACAAACCCUUCAUUACCCGAUGGAAGUGUAAGAAUUGGUGCUGAAGUAAAACGUGCCUUGAGUUCUUGAAAGCUCUUUUCACAGUCAUCAUUCCACUGGAACUUAGCAGUCUUUGUAGUUAACCGUGUCAGAGGAGUAGCAAUCUUGGAGAAUCCCUCCACAAAUCUAUGAUAAUAGCCAGCUAACCCAAGGAAACUUCGAACUUCGGUCACAUUUGUAGGCCGUUCCCAAUUUACAACUGCUUCGAUCUUUUGAGGAUCGAUAUAAAUUCCUUCAGCUGAUAUCACAUGGCCUAGAAAUACUACUUUAUCCAACCAGAACUCACACUUGUUGAACUUGGCGUACAAUUGCUUUUGCCUUAAAGUCUGCAAAACAAUCCGCAAGUGCUCCGCAUGUUCCUCCUGACUCCGAGAAUACACUAAAAUAUCGUCAAUAAAGACAAUCACAAAUCGAUCCAGAUAAGGGCGAAAUACCCUAUUCAUAAGAUCCAUAAAAGCUGCUGGAGCAUUUGUUAACCCAAAUGGCAUCACCAAGAACUCACAGUGUCCAUAACGGGUUCUAAAUGCUGUUUUAGGAAUAUCGGCCUCUUUAAUUCUAAGUUGAUGAUAUCCCGAGCGCAAAUCGAUCUUAAAAAACACAUUUGCUCCCUGAAGUUGAUCAAACAAGUCAUCAAUAUGCGGAAAUGGAUAUUUAUUACGUACUGUAACUUUAUUCAACUGCCUAUAGUCAAUGCAUAGUCUAAGAGUACCAUUCUUUUUCUUAACAAACAAAACCGGAGCUCCCAACGGAGAUACACUAGGUCUACUAAACCCUUUAUCCACCAAUUCUUACAGUUUAAUCUUAAGUUCCUUUAGUUCAGCUGGAGCCAUCCUAUACGGUGCUAUAGAUAUAAGAGCCAUCCUAGGGACUAAAUCAAUAGAAAACUCAAUCUCUCUGUUAGGUGGCAUCCCUGGAAGUUCAUCUAGAAAUACAUCUGGAAAUACAUCUGGAAACUCUUGGACUAUUGGAAUAUCCUCCAAUCUCAACUCCCGAACUUCAGUGUCUAUUACGUAUGCAAGAUAAGCCGAGCAACCCUUUCUUAAAAAGCGUCUUGCAUCAAUGGCCGAUAUGACACAUGAGGGUAAAACUCUACGCUUACCAAAAAAUUUCACCUCAAUUUCUCCUGGCUUAUUGAACACAACUUCUUUUUUGAAACAAUCCACAGUAGUAUGGUGAGAUGCAAGCCAAUCCAUACCCAAAAUGGUAUCAAAAUCUCGAAUGUCUAAAAUAAUCAAAUUCGGCCCAAAUUCGUGCUCACCUAAUCAAAUCAUGCAAUCUCGAUACACCCUCUCGGCAAGUAGUGACCCUCCGUUAGGUGUACUAACAACUAAACCAUAAUCCAGUAAUUCAGGCUCUCUUUUUAUAUGCAUAACAAAUGUACGAGAAACAAAAGAAUGCGUGGAUCCAAGAUCAAUAAGAAUAUGAGCAUCUUGGCCAAAGAUAUAUAAUAUACCCAUAAUAACUUCUGGUGUAGCAUGAGCCUCUUGUUGUGUCAAGGCAAAGACUUGAGCCUGAGUACGAGGUCGACCAAGUUGACCUCUCUAACUUGGAAUAGUGGCCUGACUCCCAGAUAUGGAACCCCCUGUCUACAUACCCCUUUGACCCUAAGCUGGUCUAGAGUGAGAUUGAUAUUGUGGGGCUGUCCCUCGAACAGAAUUGUCACCCUGAGAUAAAGUGGGGCAGAAUCUCUUAAUAUGUCUAGGUUGUCCACAUAAAUAACAUACAUUGUCUCCAAAACGGCAUUGGCCUUUAUGGUUCCUACCACACGAAGGGCAAGAGGUCUGUUGUAUACUCCUACGGUGUCCUCCGCUAUUCUUGUCAUACUGCCCCUGAGUCCUAACAUUACUCCCCACUAAUGGCUGUGUCGAACUGUAAUUGACGGCCUGUCUCUGAUCUCCCCUGCUGCUUAUACUCUGAUUCUUUUGCACGCCAGCAGAGUAAUUUGUAUGUGAGCCUCUCUUCGACAGUCUACUACUCGAGCCACCCUCUGUCCAACUCUAGCUACGUUUUUGUUUCAGAGCCUGAACUCUACGUCCCUCAGAGAUACUAUGCUCUACUCUCAUGGUUGCCUCAACUACCUCAGCAAACUCAGUGUACCGUGAUGCCGUCACAGUUGUACGAAUCUCAAAUCGAAUACCCUCUUCAAAACGCCUGCAUCUCUCUCUCUCAUCACCAACUGCUGAAGUGGUAAAUCUAGAAAGAUCUAAAAAUUUCUUCUCAUACUCUUCUACUGACAUAGAUCCUUGAAUCAACCGAAGGAAUUCACUCCGCUUAAUAUCCUGAUACACAGCUAGAAAAUAAUGAUCAUAGAAUUCCUUAUGGAAAAUCACCCAUGUAAGCGCAGCGUGCCCUUGGUAUCUACGCUCUACUGUUUGCCACCAAUGAUAAGCCCUAUCCUCGAGUAAAAAAGUGGCAAAUGAAAGUCUAUCCUCCUCUGAGCAUCUCAUCACAUCAAAAAUACGUUCUAAUUUAAAAAGCCACGACUCUGCCUUAGGUGGAUCACCAGAACCAUUAAAACUCUUUGCCCCUAAACUUCGUACACGAUCGAUAGUAUUUACAGGACCGACAUGCGGAUGAGUCUGAUUCUGUACCACUGUAGUCACAAUUUGAGCUAAUCUAUCAAUUGACUGCUCAAUGUUUGGAGCAUUUCCUGGUGCCUGUUGCACAACCUCGUGCGUUGAAGACUCAACUAUUCCCUCAUUUACGGGAUCAUUUUCCCCCACAGGUACAUCUCCUGGAGUCAACCCCGCUACUAGCCUAGUAUGGCCACGGCCACGACCACGUCCGCGGCCACGUCUACUGCUACAACGAAUCAUGAUAGUGCCUACAAAAUAUCAAUUCUGACUUUAAUAACAAUAAAACUUAUUUUAUUUACGACAGUAAAGUCUACAGAAUCUAAAAUCAUGCUCUGAUACCAACUUGAAACGACCCGUCCCGUACCCCUAGGGUGAGUCUAUCUAAACUUGUAUAAUCGAAUCGAUAAUAAUUAUGAUAUCUAAGAAUUCUAUCAAAAAUUUGACAGAAUCUCCCCUAUAAAUAAAACAUCCCCAAAUCUGCAAUUUACAAAACAAUACUCCCAAAAUAAUUCAAUAUUUAUCCAUCCUUCAUAACCAACUUCUCAAGUCAACAUACCAAAUAUCACCCAAAUCAUUCUAAUAUUAAAAUACAAUGGUUAUCCUUAAUUAUAAAAUAUAACAAAUAAAUACAAUUCGCAAUAUCCCAAAUAUCAAAAUAUUAAAUCUACGACUCCUAGCACCAUCACGUGGCCACAAUUUCAAAUCUAACUAUCGUUGCUGGGUCGACUGAUGUACCUGUAAAUCUCCUGUGGGGGGAAAAAAUAUAAUAAAACGAGGUGAGUAUAAAACUUAGUGAGCUCAGUGAGUGGAUAGUAGUUUUUGAAAAAUAAAUUUAUUUAAAAUGAUUUAAUCUUUCUCAAAUCAAUUUCAUCAAAAUAUCACAAGAACUUAUAUAAACAUAUUCAAUUCAAAUCAUGCACUGAAAUAACUAUAUUAUAUAAAUCUGCAUAAAAUCAAUGAAAUCAUAAUACUUAUAAUAUCAAAUACUGAAUACCAAAAACUAUCACCAAACAAGUACCCAAGGGAAUGAUCUCAUCAUAUCCGGACCUCGACGGACGGGCAAUCAGGGAACCAUCAUGCCCCGGAGCUACAACGGAUAGACGGCGAAAUGUCAUCUCAUAUCUCAUGUAUCUCAACAUUUGUAUCUCUGUAAUCAUCAUACUGCAUGCAUAAGCCCCCAAAAGACAAAAACGCCCAAACGCACGGCCCAAAGCCUC
rnacentral:lncRNA from 1 species